AAAGAGGCCUUUUCUUCUCACCCCUUGUAUUGCAUUUCAAAGAAUACAAAGUUCAAUAAAAAUGGGUUCCAAAAUUUCCCUUCUGCUUGGCCUGUCAAUUGCUUUUGCUCUUCUCAUGAAUUCAGAUGUUACAGCAAGAGAGCUAGUCGAAACUGCUACAAAGAACACAGGGCGUCGCCUACUAGACAACAGUAUCUUUCCAAGACCGAGCGUUAGCUACCCUGGAGGGGGAGGAAACCCUUACUACAACCGAAACCCCUACUACGGUGGAUGCUAUUACUCCUGCUAUGGAAGGUGUUGUUCUGAAGCUGAAGCAAAAGCACUCAAGGCCACUACUACUCAAGUUAAGCCUCACAAUUAGGUCGAGAUUAAAGAACUGCAUGCAUGUGUGUUACUGUAUUAUACAUAAUACUCCUCGUCUUUUACCCCAGAUUUACGUCCCUAGUCAUAACCAGGCUCCUAUUCCUUAUGAAUACUGUCGUUUGUAAUAAUAAAUACUCAGAUGCGCGUAUGCGUCGUCUUAGGUUGUAAAUAUGGUUUGUGGUUUGAUAGGUCAUGGUUAAAUGAGAAGAUUCUCAAUAUUUUUACUUUUUA